rnacentral:lncRNA from 1 species
UGAGCGGAACCCAGCCAGUCAAGUAACUCAUCCACCCGGGGCAUGGGGUAAGCGUCAAACUUUGUGACUGCGUUGACACGCCUAUAAUCAAUGCAAAACUCGCUGUGGGAUUCCUCAAUGAUGCCGAACUGCAGUGUUUUGCCCAGUUCAUCUUACAUCACUUGUUCUUUGAGUGCCAUGCUGUCUCUAUCACUGCCCCAAUCACUCUUGUUGUGGUUGUCCUCUAUCACAUUUCUGCCAGGGGACAACUCUCCGCUGAUUCUCCUCGGUGACUUCAACCUGCAUGUUGAUGACAUUCAUGCAAGCGGCCUUCUGUUGUUUCUACAGUCCUUUGAUCUCUCCCCGUCCCAAUCCCCUGCUACUCACAAAGUGGGCAACUGUCUUGACCUUGUAUUUUCUCGCAACUGUGGCUGUCCUGUCCUCUCUGUCACUCAGCUGCAUGUCUGUGACCACUUCUUCAAUUCCUUUCAACCCUCCCUCACCACUAACUCCUUGUCUCUUUCUGCACCCGUUGUCACCUUUCGCCACAACUUAAAAUCUCUCUCAUCUUCUUGCUUUGCCUCUGCUACUCUGACCGCUCUCCCUUCUGCUCCACAAUUCUCAGAUCUAUCUACAGAUGAUGCCACUAACACUUUCCUCUCUGCCCUAUCUUCCUCCCUUGACUCUCUCUGUCCUCUGUCUUCUAGACCAGCAUGCCCCAUUGCUACCCCAUGGCUGUCUGAUACGUUACGUGCUAACAGGGCCAAACUGCGGGCUGCAGAGCGAAGAUGGCAUAAAUCUAAAACUCCAUCGGACCUGGAUGCUUACCAGUCACUCUUAGCUGCUUUUCAAUCUGUUGUCUCUUCAGCUAAAACCUCCUUCUUCCAUAGCAAAAUACAGCCUGCAUCCAAAAAACGACACAGACUCUUUGGCACCUUCUCAUCCCUUCUGUGUCCCCUGCCACCUCCUCCUCCCUCUUCUCUCACUGCUGAAGACUUUGCUUUGUUUUUCAGAGACUAAGUCAAAGCGAUCACUGAUAAAUUCUCAUCAUCAACCUGCCCGGUUCACGCUGGACCUCCCUGCAAAGCUAUCCUCUCCAAUUUCAAGCCGCUCUCCGAAUCUGAAGUCGCUGACCUCCUAAUAUUGGACAAUGCCACCACCUGCUCACUUGAUUCCAUCCCAUCAUCACUCCUUCAGAAGAUUUCCCCG